CACUCUUUGCUCUCUAAUCUUUCAUGUUCUCUCUUCCUCUUCAUCUUCCUUACGGUUAAUCCUUUCAGAUCCAAUAAAAAAAAGUUAUAUUUUGUUGAUAUUCGAUGGUGCCAAAUAAGUUGUUGAUGUUUAAAUCUUGAUGUGGUUUGGGAAGUUAGCUUAUUCAAUCGUGAUAUUAACCUGAUCCGCUUAGAGAAGGGUGCAUAAGCGGAUACUGUUUAUGAGUUUUGGACGUUUCCAUUGCAAGGUGAACAUAAUUACUUUCCUUCUGAAUAUUGAUUUUGCAGGAGUGUAGAAGAAGAUUGGGAUGAAAUUUCGUUAUCUUUCUUCUUUCUUUUUUCUGAAAAUUACGAUGUGGUCAAGUUAUCCGAUGAUUAUGUAUCAUUUAUGUACUAAAUUUUUGUAUGAAAUAAAAUUAAUCCAAAAUUUUGUUCUUGUUA